rnacentral:lncRNA from 1 species
UUUGAGAUAUUGAAUAAAGUGUUGACAUUUAAACGGCUGGAUUGACAAACAAUGGCAUACCAUGUAUAUCCCUUACUUCAUAAAAACCAGAAAUUACAAAGAUAAAAAAAAAAAUAUUAUAUUUUCAGAUCACAAUUAUGUUAACCUGAUCAUAGGAGGUUUAUCUAGAAACAUGAGAAGCAUUACAAGCCUGCAUAGAUUAUACACACAAAUGGAAUAGACUCUCACUUUAAAAGAACUUACAAACAAG